UACGGGGGGGGCAAGCGUUGUUCGGAAUUACUGGGCGUAAAGGGCUCGUAGGUGGCCAACUAAGUCAGACGUGAAAUCCCUCGGCUUAACCGGGGAACUGCGUCUGAUACUGGAUGGCUUGAGUUCGGGAGAGGGAUGCGGAAUUCCAGGUGUAGCGGUGAAAUGCGUAGAUAUCUGGAGGAACACCGGUGGCGAAGGCGGCAUUCUGGACUGUAACUGACACUGAGGAACGAAAGCCAGGGGAGCAAACGGG
rnacentral:rRNA from 1 species